UGUUCUGUAAACGUUUAAUAUUUUUGAUUGAAAUUAAUAAAAAUAAGGACGGAUCCCACAAAAACCCAAGAAGAAGAAUAAGCUGACGUCAUCAUAUGCGACACUUACACUCCGGUGAGUAGAAACCUGCAUCUGCCAAAAUGUUUUUGUACUCUAAAACCAAAAAUAACUCCAAAGUGUCACGUUAUAAAGUUACUGAUUGUAGUUUUAGGACUUAAUGGCAGUAGAACUGUGAUGCAAUUGGUUGAAGACACGUUUGUAACUUUUUUUUUGCCGGAGAAUAUACGGUGGAAGGGUUAAAUUAGCCUCUUGUACCUGUGCUUAAUACGUUUAAUUAGCCGUGAUAAUUAAACGUAUUAAUUAUCACGGCUAAUUAAACGUGAUAAUUAGCCGUGUUGUUGUUGGCAACAACAAUGCUUGUUGCCACUUUGUACAAUUGGAGGGUUCCUAAAAACAUCAGGCUGUGAUGAUCUUUAAAGUUUUGUUUAUGAAUCCUGUCUGAAUACACUGAUUGCAGGUAGGUCAUUUACUUGAAUUAAAAAUGAACUUGCAUCAGUACAGGCACAUUUCUUUCCUCCUGUCUAUGUUAUUUAUUGAUGUUGCAAGCCAGAUGAAUAGAAGUAAAGAGCUGAGAACCUGAUCUUUGAACAGACAGAGAACAUAGGUCAGGAGCAGCCUGGGAUGCUUACUGAGGAGUAUCCAAUGAUGAUAUCCCAGACAAUCACUUUUUUCCAUGGAUGUAACAUGCAAGUACUGGCCAUAUCUUGAAACAAAAAGCUAAUAAGAAGCUGUCCUGAGCUCCAACACCUGCUUAAAAAAAUGAAGCCAUUUCUCUCAAUUUUCCAUGGUAAACCCCAUGAAUGUAAGACACAGAUGGACACAAAGCUUGUGCCAAGGCUCAUCGCAAGAUCAGAAAGGAGAAACCAUCUUAGCAUUGGCUUUAGAAGAUGUUGGUCACUUGAAGACUGAUACAGACACAGAAGUUCUGUCUUUGGAAGAGAUCCUGUCCGGUGUCUCUUGGCAUGUUUGACUGGGGUGGGGAUGUACUGUCACAGGGUGAAUUAGUUAAACUUUUAGACUUACCGCAUUAGUUCUACGACCAGGGAUUGAUUUUGUGUACUACAUUUCCACCAAUCUAAAUAACAAGAAAAGGAAAAAAAAAACUAUUUUAAAAACAAAAGAAGAAAUGAAGUCAAAGCGUGUACACUUGAAAACUGAAAACUAGUGUGGUGACUGUCAUAUUUUAUAAUCCUUCUAAACUUUACUCUUUACAUGGAUUUAGACAUUUUCUCAAAUUAGCUUAACAUUGAUUUUAACCACUUUACAAUGGCCACAUAAAUGGAAACUAAGCCCAAAACAAGUUGUCUUUGCUUAUAAACAGUCUAUAUAGUUUUUCUGUUUCUGUGAGAAUUUUGACAUUUUAGGGCUGGACUCCUUAAGUCGCAAGUUCAGUUUUCUUCUGGGUUCGAUUCUCGGCCCGAGGUCUUUCUGCAUGGAGUUUGCAUGUUCUCCCUGUGCAUGGUGGGUUCUUUCAGGGUUCUCCGGCUUCCUCCCACAGUCCAAAAACUUACUUACUUCUCUUCAUCUGGCUUGCAACAGCAAUAAAUAACAUAGACAGGAGGAAAGAAAUGUGCCUGUACUGAUGCAAGUUCAUUUUUAAUUCAAGUAAAUGACCUACCUGCAAUCAGUGUAUUCAGACAGGGUUCAUAAACAAAACUAUAAAGAUCAUCACAGCCUAGGGGCACUGAUGUUUUUAGGAACAGUCCAAUUUUACAAAGUGGCAACAACAAGCAUGACUAUAAAUACUAUUUAUGUGACUUUAUCACGGCUAAUUAAACGUAUUAAGCACAGGUACAAUUAGCCUCUAAGAGGCUAAUUUAGCUAGCUUGCACCGUAUAUUCUCCGGCAAAAAAAUGUUACAAACGUGUCUUCAACCAUUCGCAUCACAGUCCUACUGCCAUUAAGUCCUAAAACUACAAUCAGAAACUUUAUAACGUGACACUUUGGAGUUAUUUUUGGUUUUGGAGUACAAAAACAUUUUGGCAGAUGCAGGUUUCUACUCACCGGAGUGUAAGUGUAGUAUAUGAUGACGUCAGCUUAUUCUUCUUCUUGGGUUUUUGUGAGAUCCGUCCUUAUUUUUAUUAUUUCAAUCAAAAAUAUUAAACGUUUACAGAACAGUUUGCAUGCAAUCACAAAAGAAAAAUACAUCUGAAUUUUUCUUAAAUUGAUUUGGUGUAAAUCAUUGAUAUCAUACUCAAAAAUAGUUGGUAAAUAAAAAAAGGCUUUUAAAUCAAGUUACAACCACCACAAAAACCCUCCGGUUUUAUAUUUGACUGAGUUAUGUUUAAAUACCCAAUUAAAGUCCUUUGACCGAUACGUCUGGCAUGUAUUUGUAGUAAAUAUUCUUAAUAUCCUGUUCAAACUAGCACAUAAAUUGUAAAUAAAGGUUGUUUUUUUUUUUAAAUAGAAUAGACUCGUCAUCUUAUUCGUUCCUAGAUUGUCAGUAUCGGACGCAUAGGGAGCGGUACAGCAUUCAAUGAGAGAACCCUUCUCGUCAAUUAUUGACGCAUAUUGACCCUCUGCGUCAAUAUGUGACAAGUUGGGAGUGACAAUGUGUUGCUCUUUCAAUCACUGCACUGCAGCUGCAGAGAAAACUUGGAACUUUAACUUUAUCAUUCUGCCCCAGUGGUUCGCUACAGGCAGCCUGAGUCGGAACCACCAACAGAUAUAAAGAAUGUCUGUCAAACAUUCUGUUAUAAAGAAACACAGGGCCGUGCAGAGACCUUUUGAGGGGGAGGGGGCUCAAAGUUAAAAAAUGGCACAUUGAACAAGAUCUUAAAACACCGUACAACAACAUAGCAACAACCCAUAUUAAUCAAUAAUUUAAUUGGAUCCUACUAUAUCAUUGCCAUCAUGUGGGGACAAUGCAAAGCAAAUGUAGUAUAUUUUCCCCAACAGGUAUAGUGUUACUGUUUCUGCUGCUGACAGUCCUGGAGGACUGAGUUGAACUGAGACUGUAGCUGUUAAACAGGGUUAAUUUGCUGCCAUUUUACUAAUUAAGCCCUAAUAAUAUCUAUUUAACCUCUACAACAACUUGACUGCAGACUGCUUUAUAGAUCUAAAAAGCUCAAAGGGGUUAACUCUAUAUAUUUUUAGCAUCUCUGAGAUCUAGAAUUGUAAAACUGGGAUAUCAAGGCAAAGAAAACUCAGUAGCGGCUGGUAAGGCCCUCCAGACAUUCAGGGGCCCCUAGAAAUGGUUUAAUUGUAAAACAGACCAUAGAUCUAAACCUGUAGCAUUAAUUUAUAGAGAAUGACAGUGUUAUUGAAUUUUAUUUAAUGCAUUCACCUGAGAA